rnacentral:tRNA from 1 species
UGGCUCAGAGGUUAAAGUGUCUGCCUGGAAUGCUGGAGAUCCAGGUUCGAUCCCUGG